rnacentral:rRNA from 1 species
CCUACGGGGGGCAGCAGUGAGGAAUAUUGGUCAAUGGACGAGAGACUGAACCAGCCAAGUAGCGUGAAGGAUGACUGCCCUAUGGGUUGUAAACUUCUUUUAUAAAGGAAUAAAACGAGGCACGUGUGCCUUUUUGCAUGUACUUUAUGAAUAAGGAUCGGCUAACUCCGUGCCAGCAGCCGCGGUAAUACGGAGGAUCCGAGCGUUAUCCGGAUUUAAUGGGUUUAAAGGGAGCGUAGGUGGGUUGGUAAGUCAGCUGUGAAAGUUUGCGGCUCAACCGUAAAAUUGCAAUUGAUACUGGCAGGCUUGAGUACAGUUGAGGUAGGCGGAAUUCGUGGUGUAGCGGUGAAAUGCUUAGAUAUCACGAAGAACCCCGAUUGCGAAGGCAGCUUACUAAACUGUGACUGACAUUGAUGCUCGAAAGUGUGGGUAUCAAACAGGAUUAGAUACCCUGGUAGUC